UACGUAGGGCGCAAGCAUUGUCCGGAAUUAUUGGGCGUAAAGAGCUCGUAGGCGGCCUGUCGCGUCGGAUGUGAAAGCCCGGGGCUUAACCCCGGGUCUGCAUUCGAUACGGGCAGGCUAGAGUGUGGUAGGGGAGAUCGGAAUUCCUGGUGUAGCGGUGAAAUGCGCAGAUAUCGGGAAGAACACCCGUGGCGAAGGCGGUUCUCUGGGACGGUACUGACGCUGAGACGCGAAAGCGUGGGGAGCGAACAGG
rnacentral:rRNA from 1 species